AUUGAACGCUGGCGGCAGGCCUAACACAUGCCAGUCGAACGGUAACAGGAACAAGCUUGCUUCUUUGCUGACGAGUGGCGGACGGGUGAGUAAUGUCUGGGAAACUGCCUGAUGGAGGGGGAUAACUACUGGAAACGGUAGCUAAUACCGCAUAACGUCGCAAGACCAAAGAGGGGGACCUUCGGGCCUCUUGCCAUCGGAUGUGCCCAGAUGGGAUUAGCUAGUAGGUGGGGUAACGGCUCACCUAGGCGACGAUCCCUAGCUGGUCUGAGAGGAUGACCAGCCACACUGGAACUGAGACACGGUCCAGACUCCUACGGGAGGCAGCAGUGGGGAAUAUUGCACAAUGGGCGCAAGCCUGAUGCAGCCAUGCCGCGUGUAUGAAGAAGGCCUUCGGGUUGUAAAGUACUUUCAGCGGGGAGGAAGGGAGUAAAGUUAAUACCUUUGCUCAUUGACGUUACCCGCAGAAGAAGCACCGGCUAACUCCGUG
rnacentral:rRNA from 1 species